rnacentral:lncRNA from 1 species
CGGCCAUUCAAUCUCAAAUUGCGCUGCUCACAUAAACAUAAAAAAGCAUAAGCAAUCAUUGAACUAAUAAUGGAAAACGAAUGAACGACGCAGAAGUAAGACCAACCGAUUCAAAUCGAAACGGGGAGGCGGAGAAAGAUGCAGAAUCAGCUGAAAUCGAAUUGAGAGGGAUUAGCACUGAAGCAGAAACAUUCCUCCCAGCUAGCUUGGAGUGAUUGAGAUAAUCAGGAUAGCAGACUGAAGAAGAGCGGAAAGAAGGUAAGAAUGAGACGGAGGAGAAAGAUUGAUUGCUGCAGGGAAUGAGCCUUCUGGCAGAAGAAGCUGAUUUGCAGAGCUUGCACGUCGCAAUUGCAGCUGCUCUGCGGGCUGCUGCCAUUGUGGCCUCCCGAAUCUUCUCUUCCCAACUUCA